rnacentral:rRNA from 1 species
GACUACAUGAAGCUGGAAUCGCUAGUAAUCGCGAAUCAGAAUGUCGCGGUGAAUACGUUCCCGGGUCUUGUACACACCGCCCGUCACACCAUGGGAGUCAGUAACGCCCGAAGCCGGUGACCCAACCGAUAAGGAGGGAGCCGUCGAAGGUGGGACCGAUAACUGGGGUGAAGUCGUAACAAGGUAGC